rnacentral:tRNA from 1 species
UAGAUUAAAGUCCGCCGGUUUGGACAGCUAGCUGUUAAUUAGUUUUUGUGGGAUCGAGGCCCGCUAAUCUAG